rnacentral:tRNA from 1 species
GGAGAUGUAGAUUAGUGGUAGACCAUUAGCCUAGAAUGCAGAAGGCCCUGGGUUUAAAUUUCCAGCAUCUCAU